UAAAAACUAAAAUAAAUAUAUAAAUAGAAAUGAGACAGGGGUGUGGAUCAUGUACGGAGGUACAAUCAGCAAGUUUGGGCCUUAAGCCCAAAAUCCAAACACGAGCCUCAGUAAUGCGUCAGGGUCAUGAAUGAAACGCUUCUCCAUUCGUGCUCUCUGAUCCUCACCCUCUCAUCUCACAAAUUCAAUCAAAACACAAACAUAAAAUUGAAUCUGCUCGAGGUUAACUCAUCAAGAUCUUGAGUACAUCAAUCGUAUUCAUCACUCGCGUUCGAAAUCGAUCAAAAAUGAAUCACAAUUAGCGCAUCAAAGUGAAUCGCGACAUACAACGAAUCAAGGAUUGCAAUUGAGUCAAGAACAUGGAAGAAAGCUUACCGUAUUUGAACUCUGGCGCGCUGAUUCUCCGGAUAAUCAACAUGUAUUGAAUCUUCUUGGCUCUGCUUCGCUUUAAUCCACUUUUCUUCUUCUUCUGUUUUCCAUUUCUGCUGCGUUGAAUCGAGAGUGAGAGUUGAAGAACGAGAGUGAGGAGUUUCUGAGCUUGAUUCUCUUUCUCUUCUUCUCUUCUUCUGUGAUUUCCGCUUCUUCGUGAGAGAGAGAAUCGUGUUUCUGAAUUUUGCAGUGAAGUGAAUUCUGAGUUCUGAUCUCAAUCGAGAAGAGUGAUGAAUAAUUUAGAGUUUUUCGUUAUUUUUCUGUUAUGAUGAAUGAAUCUGAGAGAAGAUGAAAUUGUUGAGUGAUGGAUUUUAUAGAGAUUUGAUGUUCAAAUUAUGUUAUGAAAUGCAAUCGAAAUGCACAUGUUAGUUACAAAUGCCAAGUUCUGUUGGAGUUGAAUGAGUUAGUUAGUUUGAGUUAGUUGCAAAAUCUGAAUUUAGCUUAGUAGGGUGAUGAUUAUGUACGUGUUGGCUUGGUUAGCUUAUUAUGGAAUCCAUUUAACUGUUACACGAAAAUGAAGGGAAUGUUGGUUUUCUGACUUGUGUGAGUUGUGGGGUUUGUAGGGCAAUGUGCAUGGUCUGAAGUAGGGUCGUGGAUUAUUGUAUCAGUUUGAAGGGUAAUGAUUCAAAUUCUAUGUGUUCACUUGCUUGGGAUGUUUAGAUGUGGAGACAUGGAAAUGCUUGUAGGUUCAGAGUUGGUAACAGUCAUGUAUUUGGCAUGCAUGUGUUGUAUGGCAAUUGAAUUGAAUUAGAAUAUUUGAAUGGAAAGUGUUGAAUGAAUGUUAUUGAAUUGACAUUGUAGGGCAUGAAAUUUGAAUGGAAAGUUUAUUGGAUGAUGUAUGGAAAUGGUUUUGUAUUGAUUUGUAUGGAAAGUUAUGAAUGGAAAGAUGUAAUUGAUUGUAAGAAAUGUGUAAUUGUUUGGAUGGUUAUGGAAAUAUUUGAAUGUGUAUUAAAUGAUAUGUUAUGGAUUGUGAAUUGAAAUAAACACAGGUUUAGGUUCACCUGGAUUUAAAAGUUAGUAGUAACAUGAAAUGAAUUGGCUUGUUAAAAAUGAAAUGAACAAAAUGGCAUAGAGAAUGGAUCAAGACAUGGACCAUUGAGCAUGAGCUUGAAAAUGACUUUAGGGAAGAUGUAUGAAGACCGAAUAGUAAAUGGGCUAGUAGUGAAGAUGUAUGAAUGGUAUAGAUAAAAAAGGCUAAAUACUCUUUUUGGUUCUGUAUCUUUACCCCGGAGUUCAUUUUGGUUUCUCAACUUUAAAA
rnacentral:lncRNA from 1 species